UUGAGAAUGUUGCCUGUCUGAGCCCUGAGAUGAGCUGAGGGUUCCUCCUCCCCAGCCAGCACCAGCCUCACACAGCCCUUGUAAAUCUGAAAGUGCUGUUGGUAGCAACCAGGGAUGGGCAGAGGCAGCCCUGUCCUGAGGGUGACAUGAAAGUGAGAGCAAGCUGAAGCUCCAGUUGGCUUAGUCUUCAAAAGUGUCACUUUCAGAUUAUAUCCCUCAGCUUUAAAAUAUCCUUCUUUGAAGUCCAUCCUGCUCUGCCCACUAUUUGUCCCCGGUGGUCACUUCCUCCUCUGUGCUCCCGUGGCCUGGGAUUCACACCAGGAAAGAACGCCACGAAGAAGGAAUGACAAGAAAAUGGAGGCAAAGAACAUUGGAGUCACUCCCUGGCUACACACACUGAGGUGAUAACCAAGGUGCUCAAAAAGGGCCGGUGUGCCGCAGUGAGUGCCAGUUUGAAUGAAGGAAGCAUGCGUGGCCUGAAGCCUCACCGUGUUCCAGGCGUCCAGUUAAGUGCUCUGCACAUAAUAUCACACAUUGCGCUCCACGAUAAGAACAAAUUCUCACAUGGGAACCGAGCAAAGUGUAAUGGAUGUUCCCAGGAGCUGCCUAUGGGAUUCAAGAAAACUGUAUGAGAGGAGUAACAUUUGGGCUGGAAGCGAAAAUACAAGUAAACAUAUGUCAAAUGGGGUCUGGAAAGCAAUCCUCCACAGAAAGAAAGCAGAAUCUUCUGGGCAUUUCUGAGCAAGUGGACUUCCUUCAGCUGAGCACAGUCCUCAGGAGAAGCGGACAGGUGCAAAGUGUUGGAAGCCAACACUCACAGCAGUUGGGGGUUGGAGUGCUCUGGCUUCCAACAGCAUUGAAACCAACAGCAUUGACUACAGCGAGUUUCUCAAUCUUCAGAACACAUCCCAGCCUCCCUGGGGGCUGCUAAUGCACAGAUUGCCGUUUCCCACUCCAAGAGUUUCUGAUUCCAGAGGUCUGGGGUAGGGCUCGAUAAUUUGUUCUUCUAACCACCUAAUGCUGUUGGUCCAGUGACCACACUUUGAGAAAUGCUGUACUAUGUUUUCUCAUAUAUUUAAAAAUUCUCACCUCAUUUAUGGUUUAAAACUUCUAGAACAAUUCUGAAUAGUUUUUGUAAUAGUGAGCCUCACUUUCCUGUCUCUGCCCUUAAUGGGAAUGUCUCUAAUGAUUCACCUUUCAUACGGGGACUUGUUGUGGUUUACUGGGCAAUUCCUUUUGGCAGGUUAAAAAAAUUCCCUCUGUUUCAAGCUAAAGCCAUUUACCAGGAAGAGACGCUAAGUUUUAUCAGAGGGUUUUUCCAGUAACUAUUGUGAUAAUCAUGGUUUUUUUUCCUAUUUAUUACGAUAUCAAACAUGAAACUUAUUUGAAGUCCUGGAUUAAACGGUGCUUGUUUUCUAUAAUGUUUUGUUCCUUAAAUGUACUGACAAAUUUAAUUUAUUAUUUUUUUAGGAUUUGAGGUACAAGUUCAUACGUGAUAAUGACUUACUGUUUUGUUUUCAUUAUUUCCUCCUUCCAUCCUUUCUUGAUAUCCUUUUUAUCUCUUGGUUUCAAAAUUACACUAGCGUCAUAGAAUGAGUUGGAAAUUAGCCCAUUAUUCUCCAUGCCAUGGAGUGUUUUGCAAAACAUAAGAAUGAUCAGUUCCUUACAUAUUUGGUAGAAUUUACCUUAUAAAACACAGUAGGUUUUGUGUCUCUUCUGGAGUCCAGAUACUGCUAUGGACUGAAUGUUUGUACCCUCUAAGAUUCAUUAGGUUGAAAUCCUAGCCUCAAAGUGGUGGUAUUAGGAGGUGGGACUUUUGGGAGGUGAUCAGGCCAAGAGGGUGGAGCCCUCAUGAAUGGGAUUAGUGCCCUUAUCAAAUAAGGCAAAAGGAGCUCUUUAACCUCUCCCACCAUGUGAGGACAAAGUGAAAAGACACCAUCUAUGAACCAGGAAGCAGGGCCUCACCGGAUGCCAAACCUGCCAGCACCUGGCCCUUGGACUUCCAGCCACCAGAACUGUGAAGAAGAAAUUUCUAUUGCUUAUAAAUACCCAGUUUACGGCAUUCUGUUAUAGAAGUGCCUAAUAGGCUAAGGCAAAUACUAUAUGGUAUUUAGGAUUGCUUCUGUAUAUUUUUAAGACUUUUUUAUUUUGGAAUAAUAAUAAUUCACAGAAAAUUUACAGAGAAAGUCUCCACAUGCCCCUCACCCCACUUCCCCUAAUGUUAACAUAACCGUGGUCCAUUUGUCAAAACUAAGAAAUGAGGAUUGGUACCAUACUAUUGACUGAAUUACAGACAUUACUUGGAUUUUGUCAAUUGUUUUACUAAUAUUCUAUUAUUUCUGUGUCAGAUUCCAAUCUGGAUAACAUGUUGCAUUUGUUCAUCACGUCUCCUUUGUUUUUCCUGGGCUGUGACAGUUUCUUAUUCUUUUCUUGUAUUGCCUGGCUUUGAAUUUUGAGGAAUUCUGGUUAAGUAUUUUGUAAACUGUCACUAAAUUUUGCUUGUCAGAUGUUUUCUCCUGGGUUAGACUGGGCUUACAGGUUUUGGGGAAGAACUCUACAAAAGGGAAAUGUCUUUCUCAUCUCAUCUAAUAAAUGGAUAUAGGAUAUCAA
rnacentral:lncRNA from 1 species